CCUACGGGUGGCAGCAGUGGGGAAUAUUGCACAAUGGGGGAAACUCUGAUGCAGCGACGCCGCGUGAGUGAAGAAGUAAUUCGUUAUGUAAAGCUCUAUCAUCUGGGACGAAAAUGACGGUACCUGAGUAAGAAGCCCCGGCUAACUCCGUGCCCGCAGCCGCGGGAAUACGUAGGGGGCAAGCGUUAUCCGGAUUGACUGGGUGUAAGGGGAGCGUGGAGGGCAGUGCAAGUGUGGAGUGAAAGGCAGGGGCUCAACACCCGGACUGCUCUGGAAACUGUACGGAUGGAGUGCAGGAGAGGUAAGUGGAAUUCCUAGUGUAGCGGUGAAAUGCGUAGAUAUUAGGAGGAACACCAGUGGCGAAGGCGACUUACUGGACUGUAACUGACGUUGAGGCUCGAAAGCGUGGGGAGCAAACAGGAUUAGAUACCCUUGUAGUC
rnacentral:rRNA from 1 species